rnacentral:rRNA from 1 species
GACGAACGCUGGCGGCGUGCUUAACACAUGCAAGUCGAGCGGUAAGGCCCUUUCGGGGGUACACGAGCGGCGAACGGGUGAGUAACACGUGGGUGACCUGCCCUCAGCUCUGGGAUAAGCCUGGGAAACUGGGUCUAAUACUGGAUAUGACUCCACGGUGCAUGUCGUGGGGUGGAAAGCCUUGUGCGGCUGAGGAUGGGCCCGCGGCCUAUCAGCUUGUGGUGGGGUGAUGGCCUACCAAGGCGACGAUCCGUAGCCGGCCUGAGAGGGCGGUCGGCCACACUGACACUGACAUACGGGUCAGACUCCUACGGGAGGCAGCAGUCGGGAAUUUUGGGCAAUGGGCGAAAGCCUGACCCAGCAACGCCGCGUGAAGGAUGAAAUCCCUCGGGAUGUAAACUUCGCAAGAACGGGAAGAAUAAGUAGGGGACAAUACCCCCUAUGAUGACGGUACCGUUUGUAAGCUCCGGCUAACUCCGUGCCAGCCGCCGCCGUAAU